AUAUGGAGAAGGUUAAUAGGGCAGGCUAACAGAGGAGGAGCUGAGUUUGAGAGAGGAGGAGAAGAAUGCCGAAGACAUGGCAGCAGACAGAGGGAAGCAAAACAGAAAAGGCAGCCCCUUUUUGCCAUGUUAAAGUUAACUUAGUCCCCACAGAGAUUUUUGGGGAGGCCAAGGAGUGUGAGAUUUGUGAUUCAGUGUGUGGCUUUGUCACAUGCCUACCCAGGAUGAAGAUGAUAGAAAUCUUGGUGCUAUCUCACUUCAGGUUGGUUAAUCCCUGGUACAGGAGUCCACGGCAGUGGGAAUGAGCUGUGGAGACAGGACAGUCAAAGGAAAUCCCUGACUCAGCUGCCCUGGUUCCAGCAGGAUGCUGCGGCAGCUGUUCAGAGGAGACACUGAGAAAGCAAAGCCCAAAGUGAUCCAAAUACUUCCUCCAUCUGUCUUGCUCCUGAGGUGAGACCCAAGAGGGGAAGAAGUCUUUAGUUUAGACACUUGUGCCGUAGCAUGGCUCUGACUGCUUUUACCUGGGACAGCAGCUGGUGACUGAACCUUAGCUUUCC
rnacentral:lncRNA from 1 species